CCCGAUCUUGUGUAGUGGUAGCAUAGCGACUGACUUGCUUAAACCUCACCAUCUUAAGCCUUAUCUCCGCCCGUUCGCGGGAUCGCAGAUCCGAGUUCGAUUCCCGGGGCUGGGA